rnacentral:rRNA from 1 species
GACGAACGCUGGCGGCGUGCUUAACACAUGCAAGUCGAGCGAGGCCCUCCUUCGGGAGGUGUCCUAGCGGCGAACGGGUGAGUAACACGUGGGCAACCUGCCCUCAGCUCUGGGAUAACUCCAAGAAAUUGGGGCUAAUACCGGAUAUGACCGCUGACCGCAUGGUCUGGUGGUGGAAAGAUUUAUCGGCUGGGGAUGGGCCCGCGGCCUAUCAGCUGGUUGGUGGGGUAGUGGCCUACCAAGGCGACGACGGGUAGCCGGCCUGAGAGGGUGACCGGCCACACUGGGACUGGGACACGGCCCAGACUCCUACGGGAGGCAGCAGUGGGGAAUAUUGGGCAAUGGGCGGAAGCCUGACGCAGCGACGCCGCGUGGGGGAUGACGGCCUUCGGGUUGUAAACCUCUUUCAGCAGGGACGAAGCGCGAGUGACGGUACCUGCAGAAGAAGCACCGGCCAACUACGUGCCAGCCGCCGCAGUAAAAC